UACAGAGGGUGCAAGCGUUAAUCGGAAUUACUGGGCGUAAAGCGCGCGUAGGUGGUUUGUUAAGUUGAAUGUGAAAUCCCCGGGCUCAACCUGGGAACUGCAUGCAAAACUGGCAAGCUAGAGUAUGGUAGAGGGUGGUGGAAUUUCCUGUGUAGCGGUGAAAUGCGUAGAUAUAGGAAGGAACACCAGUGGCGAAGGCGACCACCCUGGACUGAUACUGACACUGAGGUGCGAAAGCGUGGGGGAGCAAACAGGA
rnacentral:rRNA from 1 species